rnacentral:rRNA from 1 species
CCUACGGGUGGCAGCAGUGGGGGAUAUUGCACAAUGGGGGAAACCCUGAUGCAGCGACGCCGCGUGUAGGAAGACGGUCCUCUGGAUUGUAAACUACUGUCCCCAGGGACGAAGAUGACGGUACCUGGGGAGGAAGCUCCGGCUAACUACUUGCCAGCAGCCGCGGUAAUACGUAGGGAGCGAGCGUUGUCCGGAAUUACUGGGUGAAAAGGGAGCGUAGGCGGGGAUGCAAGUUGGGUGUUAAGUCUACGGGCUCAACUGGUAGUCGCACUCAAAACUGCAGCUCUUGAGUGAAGGAGAGGCAGGCGGAAUUCCUAGUGUAGCGGUGAAAUGCGUAGAUAUUAGGAGGAACACCAGUGGCGAAGGCGGCCUGCUGGGCUGUUACUGACGCUGAGGCUCGAAAGUGUGGGGAGCAAACAGGAUUAGAUACCCGAGUAGUC